GGGAUAAAUUGCACAACUGCAGUUGCCUUUUGCUGUCCAGAGACCCAGGAAGGGAGAGAGAGACAGAUUUCCCCCUCCCCAGCUCCAGCCUUUGGACCUUAGCCCAUCUUGGGAGAUUGGCCAGGAAAGCCGACGAGCCUGAAGGCAGCAGGGUUGCAGCUCGGGCUGUCUCCUCCCUUCUGCCUCCUGACGCUGCUGGAUGCUUCAGACCUAUUCCUAGCACUGCCCAGCUCCAUCCCCAGCAGGCUGUGAGUGCCUCCCGCUGCCCGGGGAGGCAGGGCAGAGCUGGAGAAGCAUCCGCCGCCGAGGCUGGGGCACCGAAAGCAAGCCGGAUUCAGACGGAUGCUGGAGGAGGACGACGAGGACGGGCUGCGGAACGGACCAAGCCCCCUCUCCAUUCUCCCCGCUGCCUCGGCUGCUCCUUCCCCGAUGGCUACAGACUGAUCGGCAGAGGAGAGGGGAGGGGAGAAAAAAAGGAGGAAGGAACAGAAAAAAAAAGAAAGAAA